ensembl:lncRNA
GUUUAAUUAGAGAAGAAUGUAUCACCUUUUUUAAUACUAGUUAAGUUAAGGACACUACAGGAUUUAUUAACUACAAAAAGGGCCUGUAUGUGUGGCUGUCUCCCAACAGAAAGUGAACAAAAAGGAAACAGCAGCGCAGCCCUGGUCAUUGUGCUAGAGCAGGACCUGAGCCCUAGGACCAUGCCCCAGGACUACCUGACAUGAUGACUCCUUGCUGUCCCCAGUCCACCUGGCCGUGCUGCUGCUCCAGUUUCAUCUGUUCUGCCUUAUUAUUAUUCGACCAUGCUGUUCAUUUAUGAACAUUUGAACAUCUUGGCCAUGUUCUGUUAAAAUCUCCACCCGGCACAGCCAGAAGAGGACUGGCCACCCCACAUAUGCUCUCUCUAAUUCUCUCUUUCUUUCUCUCUCUCGGAGGACCUGUGCCCUAG